rnacentral:lncRNA from 1 species
AGAAUUUUUUGAACUAGUUUGUAAAAUAUUUGUAAAUGUUUUAGAAUUUUUUUUUUUUUUGAGAGAAAGGUAGGAUGCUACCCGCUUCGUUUAUUUCAUUUAGAAAAAAAUUUAGCUGAAAAUAUGAAUCAACUAGGAUUCGAACUUGGGUCUCGAAUACCAACCAGCAAGCUCUUUUGCCACUCGUGCCAGCGACGGUACGGUAAUGUUUUAGAAAGUUGGGGGAGUAUUG